rnacentral:pre_miRNA from 14 species
GGAGGCAGGGCUACAACCAGUGCAGACUGGCAUGGCCCAGGCAUCUCUGGGCGAGUAUCUCUUUGGGCGCCUCACUCUCAAGCAGGACUAGGCCUCUGGGCCUUCC